rnacentral:rRNA from 1 species
UAAUAGCGUAUAUUAAAGUUGUUGCAGUUAAAAAGCUCGUAGUCGGAUUUUGGCACCAUGCCGAACUGUCUGCCGAUUGGUUUGUACGGUUUGGCGGGUGCUUCCUUCCGGAAGCCCGCGUUUUUCUUCACUGAAGGGCGCGGUGAGUCCGGAUCAUUUACUUUGAAAAAUCAGAGUGUUCUAGCAGGCAGCUCGCUCUUGCAUAGGUUAGCAUGGGAUAAUUUAAUAGGACUCUGGUGCUAUUUUGUUGGUUUCGAACACCGGAGUAAUGAUUAAAAGGGGCAGUCAGGGGCACUCGUAUUCCGUCGAGAGAGGUGAAAUUCUCAGACCAAUGGAAGACGAACCACUGCGAAAGCAUUUGCCAGGGAUGUUUUCACUGAUCAAGAACGAAAGUUAGGGGAUCGAAGACGAUUAGAUACCA